rnacentral:rRNA from 1 species
UUGCGGUAAUUUUCAGCUCCAAUAGCGUAUACUAAAGUUGUUGCAGUUAAAAAGCUCGUAGUUGGAUUUCUGGCAGGGACGGCUGGUCGGUUCCGAUAAGGGGCCGUACUAUUGUUGGUUCCUGUCAUCCUUGGGGAGAGCGAUUCUGGCAUUAAGUUGUUGGGGUCGGGAUCCCUAUCUUUUACUGUGAAAAAAUUAGAGUGUUCAAAGCAGGCUUAGGCCCUGAAUACAUUAGCAUGGAAUAAUAAGAUACGACCUUGGUGGUCUAUUUUGUUGGUUUGCACGCCAAGGUAAUGAUUAAUAGGGAUAGUUGGGGGUAUUCGUAUUCAAUUGUCAGAGGUGAAAUUCUUGGAUUUAUGGAAGACGAACUACUGCGAAAGCAUUUACCAAGGAUGUUUUCAUUAAUCAAGAACGAAAGUUAGGGGAUCGAAGAUGAUUAGAUACCAUCGUAGUCUUAACCAUAAACUAUGCCGACUAGGGAUCGGUGGGUGCAUUGUAAGGCCCCAUCGGCACCUUAUGAGAAAUCAAAGUCUUUGGGUUCCGGGGGGAGUUAUGGUCA